GGAAAAUAGUCACUGGCAAUGAUGACCUCUGUUGAGUUGAUGCUACAGCAACACCAGCUUCAGGGAAACUCCUGAAUUACAUCAAAGUGGAACGUGACUCCAAGCAAUUACCAUAUCAUGAGGAGGCCCAGGAAGCCGAGGCAGAGAUUCUCAUGGUGAGGAACUGAAGUCUGCCAGGACAAGUGAGCUUGAAAAUGGAUCUUCUGAGCCAGGCACAUAAGUGAGCUGGGAAGUGGGAUUCUUCCACCCCAGUUGAGCCUUCCAAUGAUUGCAUCCUCAGAAAAUAGCUUCACUUUAGCCUCAUGAGAUUAUAAACUAGAACCAUCCUCUUUAGCUUCUCCUAAAUUCCCAGCCCACAGAAACUGUGAAAUAAUAAAUGUUCAUUGUUUUAA